CCCCUCUCAGGAUCACACCUGGAGAGUUUCCAGUACUCUACCAAUCUCGACGAUGGGAGGGAGAAUCAAGCAGAGGCCUACCCAUUCUAUUCCUAGCUUGGGCAGUGGCUAGCGAGGGGAAGACAAUCUGCUACAGGU
rnacentral:snoRNA from 1 species